rnacentral:tRNA from 1 species
GAGGGUGUUAUAAGAUUUGCUAACUCU